UACGUAGGUGGCAAGCGUUGUCCGGAUUUAUUGGGCGUAAAGGGAGCGCAGGCGGUGAUUUAAGUCUGAUGUGAAAGCCCACGGCUCAACCGUGGAGGGUCAUUGGAAACUGGAAAACUUGAGUGCAGAAGAGGAAAGUGGAAUUCUCAGUGUAGCGGUGAAAUGCGUAGAUAUUGAGAAGAACACCAGUAGCGAAGGCGGCUUUCUGGACUGUAACUGACACUGAGGCACGAAAGCGUGGGGAGCAAACAGG
rnacentral:rRNA from 1 species